AAAGAAGUUCUACUAUAGAUAAAAUGUUAUCAAACAGCAUUACAUGAUACAGAGAAACCUUUCAUAAAAUAAAGAGUUCGUCAAUGUAGCAUACUUCAUUGUUGUAUAGAGGUUCUAAGAUACUGCUAUACCCACUCUAACCUUCAGCAAUCACAACCCUAAUCAGUCAGCUGCCAUCAACAUUGAGGCAAGACCCUCCAUCAGCAACACAUUUACAAUUUGCUGAAGUCUCAGGUGACUAUUAGCAUUUUUUAAGCAAUAAGGUAUAUUUUAGUUAAGGUAUGUACUUUAACUUUUUAGACUAAUGCUAUUGCACACAAUAGACUACAGUAUAGUAUAAACAUAAGUUUUAUAUGCACCAGGAAAGCAAAGAUUUUUUUAUUUUGUAAAAUUUCUAUUAUUUGUAAUUAACAGAUAAAGUUGUAUGUAUUUAUCAUGUGUAAUAUGAUUUAUUGAAGUAUAUAUACAUUGUAGAAUGACUAAAUCUAGAUUUCAUAUGACUCACUUUAUUGUGAUAGCCUCUUCGUUGUGGUGCUCUGGAAAUGAACCCACAAUGUCUCCAAUGUAUGCUUGUACUAGGAAGAAUUCAGGACUCCAAUAAAAGAUACCAUGUCCAUGUGCAAUGAGGUCACACUGGUAGCUUGAACUGCAUUUUACAUUCAAAGGCUUUAAUCUUGUUAUGAUGGAAACCUUGAAGGAAAGGAAGGAAAGAAGCCUGUGUCCUACAACAAUCAUCAUCUGAAUGGAGUGCUUAAUCCUUCUGUGCCUUCUCUCAUCUUGUGAUCAUAGGCAUCCCUCUAGUUAAGGGAGGAUUUGCUGAAGACCCCUUAAUAGGCAAGACAGCCUGACAAAGACUGCAAUACUUCUGAGUGAUAAGCAAGAAAAUAAUACAGAUAUAAAGUUGUAGAAACACCAUCCACCAUGUACAAUCAUUUGUAUUUGUCAAUGCUUACUUUUAACACAUUUUCAUAUGGUACACAAUCAAAUGUCACCAUUCAAUGCUUUAGUGUUUGGGAGCUCAGCCCCAUCCCAGAGCAGAUGAAAGGAGUCUUUGAUACUUGGAAGCCUCAUUUUCAUCCUGAUUCUUUGUUCUCUUCAUCCUUUCUUCUUAUUUUGUGAAUGCCCUGCUUCCCCGAUCUGAUCUGAUUUUCUUCUCUAUUUCAUCUCAGUAGAACACCAAGAGUCCCUAUUUUAUCAGAGUGUACCCUUGCUUACCAGAGUACCCAUUAACCUAGUCUGAGUAUCUUUACUUUCAAGAACAUUAUUAAUAAUUCUUUAUCUCUGAUUGCACAAGUAAUGCACGUUCUUCAUUUUUUAAAAGUGUAGAGAAGCAAACGAGGAUAAAAAGCUAUCUGUAUCCUCAUUAUUGCAAAAGAUUAUCACUGUCAAUAAUCUACCAUAUUCUAUAUUGGGUCUCCAUUUUUUUUUCUAACUCGGCAAAUUUUUAGAUCAAAAGUUUAAACCAGUGAUUUUCUAUCAGUGAUGAUUUUGCCUAGACAAUUCUUUCCUUCCUUCUACCAAAACAUAUUUGACAAAGUCUGGAGGCAUUUUUGGUUGCCACAGCUUGGAGGGGGAUGCUACUAGCAUCUAGUGGAUGGAGGCCAUGGAUGCAUGUAAAUGGACUAAAAUGCUCAGUAUAGUCCCCAAAACAGGGAAUUAUCCAGUCUAAAAUAUUGAUAGUAUCCGGAUUGAGAAAGUUUGGUCUAACAUAAAGCCUAACACAUCCUAGAUUUUCCAACAACAAGUAUUGUAUUUCUGAUUCCUCUAAUACCUUCAGUCAAUAUUCUGGUUUCUCCUUUGCCUGUCUUCCUCUUGGAGCCCAACAAUUAUAAUUCACCCACAGAAUUGUCAGGCAAUUCGUGAACACACACUAGUGAACAAAGAACUAGAUUCCUCUCUGUCCUCCAGUCCUGUGUUCCUCUCCAGAUCUGCUUAGAACUAUGUUGUUUUUUUCAUGUUCUUUUAGUUGUGACUUUCUCUCUCUCUCUCUCUCUGUGUGUGUGUGUGUGUGUGUGUGUGUGUGUGUGUGUGUGUGUGUUCUACUCAUUUUUGUACCCAAGUACUUUGAAUUGAUCAUUUCCACAUUUUAUUAUGGGCUUGGUUAUGAACUCUUCACAUUCUAUGAAAGGUUUAGUCUUCAAGAUAAAUUAACAAAAAGUAGUGGCAUCACUAGAGAGGAAGCCUAAGGGGACAGCAGGGGGUGCUCCAGGGGGCUAUGGGCUCCUAGGAUAAUAGAGAAGAAGGAGAGGGCAGUGAGACUGCCAGGGAAGUCAAGGCAGGCUCCCCCAGCUCAGGUAGACCCAGAAGUAUAGCAUGCAGGCAUCCUAGGGCCCUGAAACAAACUCCAAGCAUCCAGUGUCUAAAAGACUUUUCCCCCUUCUCAAAUGCCUGGAAGGACAGGGUCAUACUUCUCUGUCAUUUCCAAGAGCCUGAGAUAUUGUGGGACUUUCAGAGAUAUUAUGCAUAUGGUAGUUUACAUUUGUAUAGGCAGUUUCCUUUUAAUGAGAUAUCUUCCAUCGUGAAUAUAAAAUGUUUCUAAGAUCUGGAUGCUGCGUAACUACGGGGUUUUGUUGCACACAUAUUUCAGCCAAAGAGAGUCCUUUUCUAUCAUAUUCCCCUAUCCCACUACAAACAUCCUGGGUACCAAAGGUGUAACUCUUCACUAAGAAUUAUGUUUCCAAUAAUAAAUAUGCUGAAUAGUUAAAAUUUCAUUAUCACUAUGGCUAAUAUUCAUAGAGUUUUGUAGACUGUAAAGCAUUUCCACAGUUUAUGUUACUUGUUUCUCACAAUUGUGUGAAGUAUUUGGGGCACUUGAUUUUACAUUAGAAUUGAUGUACAUUCCCCUCUCUGCCACUUAGUAUCUAUUUGGCUUCAGGCAAGCCACUUAGCUUCUUUGAACUUGUUUUAUCAUCUGUAAAAUUAUUCUUGUUUUAUUUGGUUCUAGUGAGAUCAAAAUAAGAAAAUGUAUUACAGCGAAAUUUCUGUCAGCAAUAAAGCAUGUUACCAACACAAGCAACUAUUUUGCAGAUGGAGGCACUGAAGCUGGAAAAGACUGGUAAUGUUUUGAAUGUUAUAUACCUAGUAAGUCCUCCUUGCAGAUUUCUGAUAUUAGUAUACAGAUGGUGCCCAACUUAAUGGUGGCUUGAUUUACAAUUUUUUGACCUGAUAAUGUGUUUAUUGAGGUAUCAAAUGCAUUUUUAACUUACAAUGGUUUUGACUCAUUAUGGAUUUAUUGGGACGUAACCCCACUGUAAGUCAAGGAGCAUCUGCGUUCUGAUACCGCAUUCAGCUCUCAUUCCACUAGGUGCUCUCAAAAGCUCCUGUCAUUGCUCCAGGUGAUCUUAAAACUUAGCAACUCAAUAAUUUAUAUUCUACAUUCUGCUUAGAUUUUAACACAAUAGAACUGAUGCCUGAUGCAGUGAUGGCCACAAAGGCUGUAAAUGCUGAAUAAAUACUCUGCCUGCUUGAGUGAUUACCUUAAAUUAAUAAUGAAAUAAAAUACACAUUCCCACCAGUCUUAAAUGAUAAUUCCUUAGCAAGAGUAAUCACCGCAUAAUGGAUACAAAGUGGGGUUCUGAAAGCAGACAAUCCCAGGUUUAAAACCAAGCCCUGACCUUCAUAAAUUGUACAACCCUGAACAACCUCCUUAACAUCUAUGAACCUUUAGUUCUGAAUCUGUUAAAUGAGGACAGUGACAUUUCAUAAAAUCUCUGUAAGAAUUAAAAACAUGUUGUAUCAAAAGAGCUGAGUACUAUGUCUGGC
rnacentral:lncRNA from 10 species